rnacentral:siRNA from 1 species
CCAAGCACGCUUAACUGCGGA